GGCGAUGAAGGACGUGCUAAUCUGCGAAAAGCGUCGGUAAGGUGAUAUGAACCGUUAUAACCGGCGAUGUCCGAAUGGGGAAACCCAGUGCAAUUCGUUGCACUAUCGUUAACUGAAUACAUAGGUUAACGAGGCGAACCGGGGGAACUGAAACAUCUAAGUACCCCGAGGAAAAGAAAUCAACCGAGAUUCCCCCAGUAGCGGCGAGCGAACGGGGAGCAGCCCAGAGUCUGAAUCAGCUUGUGUGUUAGUGGAACGGUCUGGAAAGUCCGACGGUACAGGGUGAUAGUCCCGUACACCAAAAUGCACAGGCUGUGAACUCGAAGAGUAGGGCGGGACACGUGGUAUCCUGUCUGAAUAUGGGGGGACCAUCCUCCAAGGCUAAAUACUCCUGACUGACCGAUAGUGAACCAGUACCGUGAGGGAAAGGCGAAAAGAACCCCGGCGAGGGGAGUGAAAAAGAACCUGAAACCGUGUACGUACAAGCAGUGGGAGCACCUUCGGGUGUGACUGCGUACCUUUUGUAUAAUGGGUCAGCGACUUAUAUUCUGUAGCAAGGUUAACCGUAUAGGGGAGCCGCAGGGAAACCGAGUCUUAACUGGGCGUUAAGUUGCAGGGUAUAGACCCGAAACCCGGUGAUCUAGCCAUGGGCAGGUUGAAGGUUGGGUAACACUAACUGGAGGACCGAACCGACUAAUGUUGAAAAAUUAGCGGAUGACUUGUGGCUGGGGGUGAAAGGCCAAUCAAACCGGGAGAUAGCUGGUUCUCCCCGAAAGCUAUUUAGGUAGCGCCUCGUGAACUCAUCUUCGGGGGUAGAGCACUGUUUCGGCUAGGGGGUCAUCCCGACUUACCAACCCGAUGCAAACUACGAAUACCGAAGAAUGUUAUCACGGGAGACACACGGCGGGUGCUAACGUCCGUCGUGAAGAGGGAAACAACCCAGACCGCCAGCUAAGGUCCCAAAGUCAUGGUUAAGUGGGAAACGAUGUGGGAAGGCACAGACAGCCAGGAUGUUGGCUUAGAAGCAGCCAUCAUUUAAAGAAAGCGUAAUAGCUCACUGGUCGAGUCGGCCUGCGCGGAAGAUGUAACGGGGCUAAACCAUGCACCGAAGCUGCGGCAGCGACACUAUGUGUUGUUGGGUAGGGGAGCGUUCUGUAAGCCUGCGAAGGUGUGCUGUGAGGCAUGCUGGAGGUAUCAGAAGUGCGAAUGCUGACAUAAGUAACGAUAAAGCGGGUGAAAAGCCCGCUCGCCGGAAGACCAAGGGUUCCUGUCCAACGUUAAUCGGGGCAGGGUGAGUCGACCCCUAAGGCGAGGCCGAAAGGCGUAGUCGAUGGGAAACAGGUUAAUAUUCCUGUACUUGGUGUUACUGCGA
rnacentral:rRNA from 1 species